AGUGUAGACACGUAAUGUAGCUCACUGGGCACCACCACUAUGUAAUGCACUGUCAAGAGGUCAAGGUCUGGACCAGCUGCAGAGGUCGGAUGUCAUAUGCAGGCGUACCUGCCAGUAGCAUGAUGCAAGAAUCAAGGAAUGAGAUGAAGAGAGCCUUUCCCAUCAGCCACACUACCUCCUGUAAGAGGACCAGAUGUACUUUCUUACAAGGUACAUGAGGUUACACAAGGUAUCAAUCUGCACUUAAACUAAUACAUUUGAACCCUUCUAUACAAUCACACAGACUCACACUAGCAGUAAAAAGGUUGCCUGUUAGUAUAUGCUAUGCAUAAAUGUGGGCAUAACAAGCUCAGCCUUAGUCAUUAUUUUUAUUUUGUUAACUGAAUCCCUGAACUAGACUGUCACAAUUUCAUUCAAUAGACACUAUUUUCCAAAGCUACAUACAUAUCAAGUUGUAAUUAGUUACAAAAUAAAAUAAAUAUAUUCAUGGUAACAAUAUUAUGACAAUAUUAGUGGAAAACUUUGAGACAAAAUAAGGGUAAUCAUAAUCUAAGUUACAAUUCAUCAAAGGCAAGACAAGGGUAGAGAUAAAAGUUACUUCAUAAACUUCACUAAUAAACACGUGCCAUCAAAGUUCAAAGUUGUGUUUUAUCGGCCUCAUAAACCCUGUGACAAAAACUUCUUUAGAGAGGUGACUGCUUUAAAAAUUGAUUGUUAGUGAUGCUUUCAUUUUGAAAUUAUUUACUAUCUUGAAUUUAGAGUGCUUUGUUUACAAUGUGGUAGAACAGGCUUUUAUUUUGAAAUGAAGUACAUGCUGCUACCAGUAAAUCACAAGUUAAUAGCUGGAUGAAAAUGGCAAAAAGAAAGGAUGGUAAGUAUAGAAAUCAAAUGCAUCAUCACUCUGGAGAGGCACACACUCUUACGUUGUCAUUGGAUUCAUAAAUCUUUGAGUUUUUAAGUGUCAGACCAGUUUCCAGACGGUUGCUAUUGCUAGCUAGGUAAUGUUCCUGCUUCUUUGUCUUCCUUCUGUUUGUGGCAAUCUGCACAACUCCAGCCCCUUCCUGUAAACCAGUUGUUUAUUCCAAACUACACUGGGCCAGCAAUACUUACCAAAUAAAAACUACUACUACAGCUACUUCUUCUACCACUACAACUACUAUAGUAACAUAGAGAGAAAAAGGAAAGUUGGAAUAUCUGUAUCAGAAUUCGUACCAUCAUAUUAGUGUAAAGCAGUGACCCUGCUGUGCUGUGGGCAGGAUUUAAUUGUGUUUAAACAACAGUUCCCACAUAAUCAGAUAACAUGCUAAGCAGCUACCAGAGAGAAACAAUUUUCAGUUUUCAUCAGCUCAAUAAAUCCCUCAGAGGGAUUUUAUCCACAAAUACCCUCAAAUCUGAUUAAUAUAAUCAUUGUAAGUGGCCCUGAGAGGCUUUGGUUCCCGCUCUGUUCAUAUCUGACAAACUGAACAAUAACAGAAGAAAAAAUAAUAUUCAGGCAUGUCUCCAUCCCUGGUGAGAGUUUAAUCUACCACACUGACCCACUUUCUGCUUUGCCAUUGGCUCCCAGCCCAGCGGGUGUCAGGGGAGACAGAGUUCACCAGCUGUCACUCACCAGCCUAUUUGCUGGGAUGCAAUUUAGAUUGUCAGCGUGCCUAUUACUCUCCCUUUCUGUUUGUCUUGUUAACCCCGAGUCCUAUCUGCUUUACACACAUCCUGUUUGAUAUCAGAGGCAGCAGACAUGAGACUUCUAGGAAAUUAUUCAGUGAAAAGAUUCAAUACUGAGUCUGGUAAGUAAAAGGAAUCAAGAACGUUUCUAUUAGUAAAAUAGGGACAUGAAUCAAAAAGAGUUUUCAGUACUCUAUUUGUCUCUGUCAUUCAAAGGUUCCUGGAACAAUAGCAUUUUUAAACAAACAGUUCUGGGGAUUCCCUUAUGAGGAACCACCCAAGAACCAAAUAUCUCGAAGGGAUUUUUUUCCCUCCUAAUGGUACAAGGCCAGUUGGAAGAGUGUGGUGUUGUAGGCCUUGUUAUGGCAACGCCAUUUACAACCUUUCAACAAGAUGGAAAGAGCCAUUAGUUAGAGCUGUAAGUUUGUGUACUGUGGGAAAAGUAAUGUGAGAAGGUACUUUACGUUUGCAUUUCUCAGCUUGUCUGUAUUUUGGUCACGUUUCCAAAGCCAUCAAUACAAGAUUGAAACAAUGGGCUUGCAUGGGCUUGGGCAUGGUUGCAAUGGCUCAUGAUUGAGUUGGUAGUUGGUAGUUAGGAUUUAAAUUGCUUGGUUGGCUAAUUGGUUGUGUGGUAGGUCUGGUUGGUUCGAAGUUGGUGACUUGGUUGAUAGGCAUAUAGGUGUAGUUUUCUAGUUCUUUAAAACUAAAAAAAUAACAAAAACAAUUAGCAUUUUCUCUCAUGAACCAGUACAAACAACACCUUUAAAAUUGGACUGACUUCAGGAUCAAGAGUCUUUUUAACCAAGUGCUGGUAUGCUUUUCUGUCACCAAAUUUCAAACAAUAUGGAGGGGGCAAAAUCUCACAUCACUCCAUUAACAUUUUUCCAGUGUUUGGGGUUCAAUGCAACCAACACAGAUAAAAAUGUAAAAGCAUAGAAGACGCCAUAAACUAGAGCAAGCCUGUUGACUCAGAGGUUGUCUGUCUAUAGACAAUUUUUAUCCCUUCUGUAAGCUUGUUGUCUUUUCCAGCUUCCUCUCUGUUCUUCUCAUUGACACGUGCUCUCACUUUGCUCACCCUUGAUAAACAUAAUCUCAUUCCUCUUUCAUCCAGUCAGAGAGGCAUCAACAAGCCCGUGUUUGUUUUCCACAUGAACAAAUAAAAUAGCACAUGCCAUCCAGAUCCAAAUACUCAUUAUAGUCUCCCAGAACCUAAUAAACAACUGAAACAACUACACCAUCCAAUUUCACACUCUAACAACUUUUAACCCUGCACUCUGAAUUACUCCGCAACGAGAUAAUGUACAAUAAUGACAACAGGAACUUUUUAACCUUGAACCAUCUCACAGGAACAUCACUUUUAUACAGUUCUAUUAAAGGCCUCUUGCUUCUCUGGUAUAGACCCUUUAUGUGAUUCAAACACAACACCCUGCCAAAAAUCUGAGCUUUAAAAUAACCCUUAAAUUCAGUCUUUUACAAAAUAGGUUAGCACAGUUUUUUGUUAACUUGGGUUUACAUAGCUCGUAGUCUUAAUGAAGGCAGCAGGAAUGAGGCCUUGUUUAGUUUCAUACCAUAUAAUCUGGAAAACUGACAUAAAACUUAAAGUCAUGUAAACAAACAAUCUCUGCAGGUGUUAGAGAAUAAUUCUGUUUGACAGGCUUGGCAUCAUUUGCAAUAAACUUCUGACUUGAGCUCCCUGAAUCUGCACCAGUCGGAAAGCAAGUGGGAGAAACAUGCAUGUAGAGAGGUCAUCCAGAAACCGAGCCGCCCACUUCCCUGGCCGCAGCGCUCCCUGUUUGGUCAGACAAAGCCAACAUUCCUCACACAACUUCCUCCCCUCGUCUGACAAAAUGAGACAAGUGCUCACCCAACAUAGGGACUGUGGGUCAGGUUUGGAAGCGAUGGGAGAGAUAAAAUAUAGAGCAUGUGGGAUUUACAAAAUCCACCUGACAUUUUCUCUUUACUCACAUUUAUUUGGCUUGAACUGCAUUGCAAAAAGUUUGAUAUUUAAUGGAUUUGUUUCCAGAACAGGCUGUAUAAGAGAAUGAACUGUAUAAGUAGACAGUAUGACCUCAGCUGUUAGUUUGUUAAAUCAUAUGUAAGACUCAAAUGUGGCAUUUUUGCAGCUUGCAUCAUUUUUGGAGUGCUCGUUUUCACCAACAAUUCAUCCACCCAGGCGACAAAGUGACGAUUCCACAGAGACAGCUGGUAAAAAUCUUCUGAGAAGACAAACAGAGAAGAUUACUUAGUUGUAUUCCCAGAUCUCAGGGCUAGGGACAGUUUUCAGGGCUAGUGACUGAUUGCAGAUAUUUCCAAGAGAAUUUAGCCAAAACAUUAUCUGGCAGGAUCAGCUCGGACAUGCUUGAAAUGAUCAAUAUCAAAGGUCAUUUUCAAAGACAAGGUCCAUUCCUAUGACGUGAAUCAGCUUGGCCUAGAGCUAGAAAGUAGCUGAUCGAUCUCCCAGCAGCCCUGUGCUUUUGACCUGCUCACGUGUUGCUAUAAGGGCCCGAAUGAGGCCCCAUGAUGGUAUCCCUUCCAGUUUCACAUCUGCCCCUCUGGAUCCGAUAGAAGCACAUGUUGUCUGUAUCACCUCCUGCUGUUUCCUGAUCACAUAAAAUUGGAUACUCGGCUGCAAGCAUGGGGAAAAUGCAACAAGAUGAGACAAGGAAAAAUUACAUACUCAGCAUGUUGUGAUACAGAAAGAAGGAAAACAAUUCCAGUUGUUGUCUCUUGGGAGGAUUAUCAUUAGGACUGAGGGACGCUCAGUGACAAAUUAUGGACGAUGUGAAACCAGCUCAAAGCAAAACAAGAGGAGAAGAAGGAGAAAAAUAGACAAAACCAGAUGGAAAGGGACACAGAGUGAAAGAGCUGUCAAGUUCAAAAGCAUCCUUGUUAACAUCAUCAAAGCCUGGAGUCCUGCAGGGUUGGAAAAAGGUCGUCCUGUGUGAGGAGGCAGCACAAAGGGUCAAAGGGUACAGUCUGAACAUGUUGGUGGAGGCGGACAAAGAGAGAACCACGUUGUCAGUUAAAGGGAUAUUCUGGCGUAAAAUUAAUUUAGAGUCAAACACACCGUAACACCGAGUUAGACCCCCCCUUGAGAGAUGAAUGUUGUCGACCGAUUGCUUCUCUAGUUAUACCAACUUUAGUAACGACCACAUGAUAGCAAUACACAGCGGUCUGAGGAGCCAUAAACAAACCUCAACCAAAACACCGCUCUAUAGCCACAAAUAAUGCUCAGAACAGCACCUAACUUCAUCAACAGCACUAGCCACCAAACAUCUUCUUAGCUUUGCCUAAUUUCUUUCCAGAAGUGCACUUUAAGAGCCUUUUGAAAGAGCCGGAAAGGAUUUUUUCCAAGUUUGAGUGACAGGUUUGAUCGGGCAUCAGAGCGAAUUUUCAUAUCACAGAUUGGGCCUUUGCGGUUUUCAAUUUUUUCCAGCUAAAAUUUGUUGUAUUCCAGCUUGGAUUUAAACAUGAAGGAAUGAUGUACGUCAGCCAGAGGACACGUUGUCCAUGUUUUCUACACAUACAGUGUUCUCGCUGUGCUAAUUUGUUCAGAAAUACUCCACAACUCAACACGAUAUUUCAUUUCACUGUUUGGUUAAUCCUCACGUGGUCCUCAAGAUGGAUCUGCUUAAAUUUGUUUGAGUCAGACGAAGAUGUUUUAAUAUCAAUUUUCAAAAUAUAGUUUCAACAUCAUUUAAGCCACAGUAAAGAAAUCUGAUAAUACAAGUCUUCUGGCCUACUUGGCUCACACUCAAGGUAAUCUCACAGUAGGCCUACACCCCUGCAGUCUGCGGUGGGGCCUUUUAUUCUGGCUCUCUUCUAUCAGAAUUUUACACGCACGCUACAGUUUCACCCUUCUCUCUAGAGCCAAACGAACUCUUUUGACCUCUACCUGUCUGUUUUUGAACGAAAGUUUGGGAUGAAAAUCAGACUCUUAAGUGUAUCUGUCUGUGUCUGAGUCGCCGAGGGCAACAUAAACCAAACCAGAGAGAAAGACAUCCCAGUUUUGUCAAUCCCUCCUUCUUUUUCAAAUAUUUACUGCAUGAUAUCAUUAUUAGACAACUCCAAACAGUUUACGUCUGCUCUAAUGGAGUUUACAGGCAGCCUGAGCUCAUAUCCACGUUGUCUUUAUGUUUACCGGAGUGUAAUAUUAACUUUGAACACUGUUUACAGGCGCUCUGUUUACAUGCAGAAUGCAGGGACUUCAGUAUCUCUGAGCUCAUUGAUAAACAGAACAUUAUCGGUAUCAACAAAUACAAUGACCUAACCAAAAAGGACUUACAAAGAGAUUUUAAAGAAAGAGUUUUAAAAGCAGUGUAGGUGGGUGGCCUCUAAAUACUCAGAAUUCACAUUGUAUGGAAACUGAAAAUCUAGUUGCUUUAAAACAUCCUCUCUUACUUUGAGGUGAUGUCAUGUCAGAGAUAUUGCUCCAGGUGUUUUAUCAGAGUGGUAUACAGCCCCCAGUCUGUGGACAGACACACAGACACCCCCUCCCAGAGCACCAGAGUUCAAACAAUGUGCUGACUUUUAAAUCUGGAUAAGAAGAAGGUCCUCCUCUCCCCCUCUCUUUGUUUUUCUAUCUGUAUGAAGAUUACCAGGAAAGACGAUGUUAUCAUCCUCAUACCAAAAUAGGUCAGAGCUCAGGACGGAGGAUGAGAGGAGGGUGAGAACAUGACAAGAAGGCGACCGUGGAAACAUCAACACUGUACAUGUUUUUGAAAGUCAAGAAUGAAACUUAAAACCGCAUUUAUCAGCAGCUGCAAUGUCACUUUUGAUACAUGUUAUUUUGCAAAUUUACACACCUCAGUGUUUACGGAAAAUCCUUUUCAGCCCCCAUCUGUCUCGAAGGCUGCAGAAAAACAAGGCUGGGAGGUCACGUGGCUGGAGAUACAAGCAGUAAGACACUUGGAUAAGUUGUAAGCCAACAAAAGUGAGGAAAUUUUGUGGGAAAGGAAAGGAAAUAACCAUGAGAUUAUGACGGACACAUGAGAAAAAACAUUAGACUGUAUUUAGAAAUGAGCAGUAGAAGUGGGAGCUGGAGAGGAGCGACUCCUCAGUUAUGCAGCCUGUUGGUAUGAAAAUAGAAAUUUAAGUUUUAAACAAUGUUACUGUCUCUACCUACAAACUUCCAUCAGCUGUUUACAAUUCGAUGGACUAAAAUAAUGCAGCCACUCAAGGGUGCUCUAGCAAACUGGUCCCGCACAGACCUCCACCCUUCCUUUGAGUUAACAACAUCAUGUUUACAGAGCACUAUCCUCUCAUACAAUCUUAAAAGUUCCUUUCAAACUUUUAUUCUGUGCAGUGAAUUGCUGAAUUAUUGGUGACUCUGCUACAGUGAGGAAUGAAAUUUUACGGUUCAGUUUUUCUUCAGAGUUAAAAUUCUUAAAAGAAAGAAUAUCUUAUUUUAAGGACUAGGCAGGUAAGUUUGUCAGCAGAUAUUUUCAAACUUAGUUCAAGCAAUUCAGAUCUUGGGUAAUAUCUUUAAAAAGAUUUUUUUCUGGACUGGGGUAAAUGUAGCUUCAAUUAAUUUUUUUAGUAAUUAUAUUAAAAAGACAUGCCGAGAUUUGAGUGUUUACAGUGUAGGGUCAUUAUCCCCCGAACUUCUAUACCACCAGACUUUUUAAUGACGGUGAAGUCACCCCCUGCUGGCCAUUAUAAAGAAUCCAGAGAAUAGGACUUCUAAAAUGUGUAAACAACUCGAUUUCUCGUAAUCAGUCUAACAUACCAUGAUGUUGCAAUUUACUCCUCUGUGUAUAAGUACAGUCUUAGAUAUUGGCCUAAUUCUGUGCACGUGACUGCACAUCGAGCUUUACCCCAGAAAACACGACAAAGAUGACAAAUCAUGUGUUGGUCAGGUAGCUGUAAAUUUGUUUUUGUUUUCAUUGUUUGAUAUUCAACCUGUUACCUUCUUUUACCCUCACUGACCCUGUUUCCUCUCUUCUCCUCUCCUGUUUUCUCCUCAUCUCCUGUUUCUCGUCACUUUGAAUCUCCAUUUCAUCCCUAUUUUACACUUCAUCUUCAUUCCCCCCUCUGUGUGUCUGUGUGUCUGUGCUCUGCUCUUUGAUGUCCUGAAUCCUCCAUAUAAAGACAUGGGGACUCUGAGGGGAGGCGACACGUGCCAC